AGUGGCGGACGGGUGAGUAACACGUGGGUAACCUGCCCUAAAGUGGGGGAUAACAUUUGGAAACAGAUGCUAAUACCGCAUAAAACCUAACACCGCAUGGUGUAGGGUUGAAAGAUGGUUUCGGCUAUCACUUUAGGAUGGACCCGCGGUGCAUUAGUUAGUUGGUGAGGUAAAGGCUCACCAAGACCGUGAUGCAUAGCCGACCUGAGAGGGUAAUCGGCCACACUGGGACUGAGACACGGCCCAGACUCCUACGGGAGGCAGCAGUAGGGAAUCUUCCACAAUGGACGAAAGUCUGAUGGAGCAACGCCGCGUGAGUGAAGAAGGUUUUCGGAUCGUAAAACUCUGUUGUUGGAGAAGAAUGUAUCUGAUAGUAACUGAUCAGGUAGUGACGGUAUCCAACCAGAAAGCCACGGC
rnacentral:rRNA from 1 species